rnacentral:misc_RNA from 1 species
UCCUAGCCCCGAUUGAGCCGAUAUCCUCGCAGUUUCGCUGCUAAGCGAAAUGUAGAGAUAAAGGCGAAAGCGGGACUGGUC